rnacentral:lncRNA from 1 species
GAGAGUGUCCCUCGGUAGCCAAAGUUUACUCUUUCACCACUAGAUAGCUAAGCCAUUAUUUUUUCGCCUAAAAACAAUAGCUUUUGGACUGUCAAUUCAGUAAGCCAUUGUUUCACUGCUGGUUAUAUUUGUCAAGGAAACUUGCAAAGUAAAGGUUCCGUGUACGGUAAGGUACUAUCUUCAUGUUCUGCGUGAGAUAAAUAAAUCUCAUGUUGACAAACGACGAC